UACGGAGGGUGCAAGCGUUAUUCGGAUUUAUUGGGCGUAAAGGGCGCGUAGGCGGUCUUGUAAGUCAGAUGUGAAAGCCCGGGGCUCAACCCCGGAAGGGCAUUUGAUACUGCGAGACUUGAGUAUGGGAGGGGGAAGUGGAAUUCCUGGUGUAGAGGUGAAAUUCGUAGAUAUCAGGAGGAACACCAGUGGCGAAGGCGACUUCCUGGACCAAUACUGACGCUGAUGCGCGAAGGCGUGGGGAGCAAACAGG
rnacentral:rRNA from 1 species